UGAGUACGAGAUGCUACGGCAUUGAAGCAGUCUAUGUCAUACUUCCAAGAAAAGCUUGCACUGUCAUAAACAAAGAAUGCCUGUACCAUAACCGACACAGGUGGGUAGGUAGAGUAUACUAAGGGGCGCGAGAUAACUCUCUCUAAGGAACUCGGCAAAAUGACUCCGUAACUUAGGGAGAAGGAGUGCCUUAUUUUUAAGGUUGCAAUAACAAGAUCCAAGCAACUGUUUAUCAAAAACACAGGUCUCCGCUAAGUCGUAAGACGAUGUAUGGGGGCUGACGCCUGCCCAGUGCCAGAAGGUUAAAGAAGUUGGUUAGCAUUCGCGAAGCUGAUAACUGAAGCCCUGGUGAACGGCGGCCGUAACAAUAACGGUCCUAAGGUAGCGAAAUUCCUUGUCGGGUAAGUUCCGACCCGCACGAAAGGCGUAAUGAUUUGGAUACUGUCUCGGAGAGGGACUCGGUGAAAUAGACUUGUCUGUGAAGAUGCGGACUACCUGCACCUGGACAGAAAGACCCUAUGAAGCUUUACUGUAACUUGAAAUUGAAAUUGGACUUUAGUUGCGCAGGAUAGGUGGGAGGCGUUGAGAAUAUUCUUGCGGGAGUAUUGGAGCCAUCAGUGAGAUACCACUCUUCUAAUGUUAGAUUUCUAACUUUGUAUCAUUAUCUGGUCAAAGAACAGUUUCAGGCGGGCAGUUUGACUGGGGCGGUCGCCUCCUAAAGGGUAACGGAGGCGCACAAAGGUUUCCUCUGAACGAGUAGAAAUCGUAUCUAGAGUGUAAAGGCAUAAGGAAGCUUGACUGUGAGACCUACAAGUCGAGCAGGGACGAAAGUCGGUCUUAGUGAUCUGACGGUGCUGAGUGGAAAGGCCGUCACUCAACGGAUAAAAGUUACUCUAGGAUAACAGGCUGAUCUCCCCCAAGAGUUCACAUCGACGGGGAGGUUUGGCACCUCGAUGUCGGCUCAUCGCAUCCUGGGGCGGUAGUACGUCCCAAGGGUUGGGCUGUUCGCCCAUGAAAGCGGUACGCGAGCUGGGUUCAGAACGUCGUGAGACAGUUCGGUCCAUAUCCGGUGUAGGCGUUAGAAUAUUGAGAGGAGCCUUCUCUAGUACGAGAGGACCGAGAAGGACAUACCUCUAGUGUACCAGUUAUCGUGCCAACGGUAAACGCUGGGUAGCUAUGUAUGGAGUGGAUAACCGCUGAAAGCAUCUAAGUGGGAAGCCCACCUCAAGAUAAG
rnacentral:rRNA from 1 species